rnacentral:rRNA from 1 species
UACAGAGGGUGCAAGCGUUAAUCGGAAUUACUGGGCGUAAAGGGUGUGUAGGUGGUUAUGUAAGUUAGAUGUGAAAUCCCCGGGCUUAACCUGGGAACUGCGUUUAAAACUGCGUAGCUAGAGUAUUGCAGAGGGUAGUGGAAUUUCCAGUGUAGCGGUGAAAUGCGUAGAUAUUGGAAGGAACACCAGUGGCGAAGGCGACUACCUGGGCAAAUACUGACACUGAGACACGAAAGCGUGGGGAGCAAACAGG